UGAUCUCUUCCAACAUGGACCGCCACGUUUCCUUCAGUCGACUAGAUACGCGUUAUGUUUAUGUAACUGGAUAGUACUCGAAGGUAUUGAUUGGCAUCCAUGCUUCCGGAAUUCCAUUCCGCUGUCCCGAUCGCACCUUUUAUUCUGCAAGUCCCAGAAGCCGUUGAUCAAAACACUCAACGAAAAGACGCUGCACGAAGGCGGACCACCGAGGGAAUAUUUUCUCAAAACUAAAGGAAUUUUAAGUGAGUUCAAUCAAUUAAGGUUGACUCGGUAGAAGAAGUAACCGUUUUCACAAUGCAGAGAUUGCUAUCCAGAGCAUCGGAUAGUUUUUACUCCACGAGUUUUACAUAGUUUUCGCUACAAAUCCCAAAUUUCGUCUGAAAAUCUGACAUUUAGAAGACAGUGUAAAAGCAACAUUCACGUUUUUGACAAAGGAGCAGCAAGCGGAAAUCAGGUCUCAAGUGGUUGUGGAUGCAGUUGAUCAGAAACCAAAGUCAAAAUAGUACAUCUUGGAACUACUGCUGUGGAAGGAGGCAGGGAAACAAUUUUGAUGAUCAACAUUGGCUGCUUCAAAGAUCUUGAUAUCUGUAUAAUGGUUUAUUCUUCCCAAGUUAUCCUUAAGGCGGUGGGGGUUCAGUGACCUGAGCUCAUGACAGUGUUACAGUCACCUACAAAGGUCAUGUAGCUUAUGCUGCAACAUUCCCUUGGGAGGGAAUCGAUGCAUUGGAUACAGCUGUCAUGCCUAAUACAAACAUAAGAGUACUGCAACAGCAGAUGAAGCUCUAAUGGCAAGUUCAUAGUUUUAUUUCUGAGGUUGGGAUCAAGCCAAACAUUGUACCAGAUGGGGCUCAGCUGAUCUUCAAACAUGAGGGCUCCAACUGUGAGGAACUUGAGGUCUUGACAGAAAAAGUCUCUAGUUGUUUUGAAGCUGUUGCACUGAUGACAGGGUGCAAAGUGCAUGGGGAGUGGAAUCUAUUACACUAUUCCAGUGUGGAUCAAGCAGACCUCUACCAGGCUAAUGUCAAGUCUUUUGGUGUAACCUUUGACCCACAAGUGCAACAGCAAACAUGGGGCUCACCAGAUAUGGGAAAUGUCUCAAAGAAAAUUCCUUCAAAUCAUGUACUAUAUGAUAUUGGAUGUAAAGCUUCAAACCAUUGUCAUGCAUUCAUGGCAGCAGCAAUGACAGAGUAUGCCCAUGCAAAAAUGCUGAUUGCAAGCAAAGCAAUGGCCAUGACAGCUAUUGAUAUUCUAUAUCAUCCA